rnacentral:misc_RNA from 1 species
GGAAUUUUCGUCAAUGGGGGGAACCCUGAACGAGCAAUGCCGCGUGUGUGAAGAAGGUCUUCGGAUCGUAAAGCACUGUUGUAAGUGAAGAAUGCCAUAUAGAGGAAAUGCUAUGUGGGUGACGGUAGCUUACCAGAAAGCCACGGCUAACUACGUGCCAGCAGCCGCGGUAAUACGUAGGUGGCAAGCGUUAUCCGGAAUCAUUGGGCGUAAAGGGUGCGUAGGUGGCACGACAAGUCUGAAGUAAAAGGCAACAGCUCAACUGUUGUAUGCUUUGGAAACUGUCGAGCUAGAGUGCAGAAGAGGGCGAUGGAAUUCCAUGUGUAGCGGUAAAAUGCGUAGAUAUAUGGAGGAACACCAGUGGCGAAGGCGGUCGCCUGGUCUGUAACUGACACUGAUGCACGAAAGCGUGGGGAGCAAAUAGGA